UUGUACACACCGCCCGUCACGUCAUGAAAGUUGGUAACACCCGAAGCCAGUGGCCUAACCCUUGUGGGGGGAGCUGUCGAAGGUGGGAUCGGCGAUUGGGACGAAGUCGUAACAAGGUAGCCGUACCGGAAGGUGCGGCUGGAUCACCUCCUUUCUAAGGAG
rnacentral:rRNA from 1 species